AGAAGAUGAAGCUAGUUGUUAGGAGCACGCUGACCCACAGAGAGCAUAAAAUGUCGACUAUGUUUACUUUAAAGCCGUAUCUGGGUCAUAACAGGAGCCAGCAGGAUAAAAUCGCUGGAUGACAUUAGAGGAGAUGGCCUGACCUCCAACCCUCUCCAUAAUGGAGAAUAAUGGCCUACCCAGAAACAGGCAGAUCUUCUUGUUGAAGAGGUACCAAGCAAGAUGCCCUCUCUGAAUGGUCGACCUUUACAGGGUCAGGAGAAGAAAAAUUGAGAGCACAAAAAGACAUACAUUUAUGGUGAGGACAAUGAACCAAAGAAAACAAGCUGCUAGGACUUUCUUCCAGGCCGUGAAGAAUGGCCUGAGGAUGGGGAUCCAAAAGCCAUUCUGAAGCAGAACUGCAAACAACUAUUAAGGGAGCAGAGAAAAAAAACUUUCAUUCUUGCACCGUGAUGGAAUAGAAAGCUGAAUACUGCAGGCUGCCUUCAAAUGUUUUAUACUUCAGAGAUGUGAACGUAUCUCACUUCUUUUUAUUUGUAAUAAACUUG